AACCAAUUUUGAAUUCACACUUUGGAAUUAUAGGAUUUUGGGAUGUCAUUUUGGAUGAAAGCGACUGGUAAUGCGGUCGUUGAAAUUGAAAAAACAACUUUUGGCAACGGAUCUCUUGGUUCUCCCAUCGAUGAAGAACGCAGCGAAUUGCGAUAAGUAAUGUGAAUUGCAGAAGUGAAUCAUCGAAUCUUUGAACGCAUCUUGCGCUCCCGGCAGAUCUAAUCUGGGGAGCAUGCCCGUCUGAGGGCCGCGAAUUGGUUCGAACGUUGGCUUUUUUCGUAAGAGAAUAGCUGACGGAUCGGUAUUGAGGGUUUUGCCAUUUACAGUGGCUCCCUCGAAAUACAUUAGCAUGACAUUGAUAAUUUAUUAUAAUUUAUUAUAAUUUCGAGUUGGUGAAUAGCCAGCCGGGUUUUGAUAACAUCAAGGCUUCGGUGGCAAGACAUCACUUGAAAAAAAGUUCAUCGCUUCUAAAGGCGCCCUUACUUGUCAUUAGGAAGUAAUGGGAUAUUUUUUAUUUCAUCGGCCUCAGAUCGGUAGGACUACCCGCUGAACUUAAGCAUAUCAAUAAGCGGAGGA
rnacentral:rRNA from 1 species